UGUGUGUCAUUCGUGGUUGUGUACCUAAGAAAAUUUUGGUCUAUGAUGUUGCUUUUGGUGCUAACUCGAGCUAUGUUGGCGAAAUUCUGAGAAAUAGUAAACCUUCUGCCGCACCUGUUUUCGGAGCCGAAAUCUAAGGGUUUGGAGUGAGAUUUUCGAAUCAGUCUCUUCACAAAAGUCGUCGAGGACCGUGAUAAUUAUAUGUGUUGAGUAUAUUUAUGCUCUCAUUAAAGACUUGAGCAUGACUCCAAAGUAAGGUGUUUUUAUAGCACUUGCAUUGGACUU